rnacentral:rRNA from 1 species
AACUAACGCUGGCGGCGUGCCUAACACAUGCAAGUCGUACGAGAAAGCCGGCUUCGGCUGGUGAGUAAAGUGGCGCACGGGUGAGUAACGCGUGGAUAAUCUGCCCUUAAGUGUGGAAUAACGUACCGAAAGGUGCGCUAAUACCGCAUAAUGCCUGGCAACACAAGUUGUCCGGCCAAAGAAGGCCUCUGUUUACAAGCUUUCGCUUCAGGAUGAGUCCGCGUACCAUUAGCUUGUUGGUGGGGUAAUGGCCUACCAAGGCUGCGAUGGUUAGCUGGUCUGAGAGGAUGAUCAGCCACACUGGAACUGAGACACGGUCCAGACUCCUACGGGAGGCAGCAGUGAGGAAUAUUGCGCAAUGGGGGCAACCCUGACGCAGCAACGCCGCGUGAGUGAGGAAGGUUUUCGGACUGUAAAGCUCUGUCGAGCGGGAAGAAGUGUACCAUGGCUAAUAUCCAUGAUAUUUGACGGUACG